rnacentral:pre_miRNA from 1 species
AAUGGAAUUAUUGGAUCAAAUGGUGGUUCCAUUCCAAAUUUUCUAAGGGAUCUCCAUACUGCUUUCAAGAUUGGUUGUACCAAUUUGCCAUCCCACCAGUAGU